UACCUGCAGCUCAAGUGGUGGCCGCUAUUAUUGGGCCUAAAACGUCCGUAGCCGGUUUGGUAAAUGCCUGGGUAAAUCGUGUAGCUUAACUAUACGAAUUCUGGGUAGACUGUCAAACUUGAGACCGGGAGAGGCUAGAGGUACUCUUGGGGUAGAGGUGAAAUUCUGUAAUCCUAGAGGGACCACCAGUGGCGAAGGCGUCUAACUAGAACGGGUCUGACGGUGAGGGACGAAGCCCCGGGGCGCAAACCGGAUUAGAUACCCGGGUAGUCCAGGGUGUAAACGCUGCUUGCUUGAUGUUAGUCGGGCUCCGAGUCCGAUUAGUGUCGGAGAGAAGUUGUUAAGCAAGCUGCCUGGGAAGUACGGUCGCAAGAUUGAAACUUAAAGGAAUUGGCGGGGGAGCACAGCAACGGGUGGAGCGUGCGGUUU
rnacentral:rRNA from 1 species